rnacentral:rRNA from 1 species
AGAACGUCGUGAGACAGUUCGGUCCCUAUCCGUCGCGGGCGGAGGAAAUUUGAGAGGACCUGUCCUUAGUACGAGAGGACCGGGAUGGACAUACCGCUGGUGUACCAGUUGUUCCGCCAGGAGCACCGCUGGGUAGCUAUGUAUGGACGAGAUAAACGCUGAAAGCAUCUAAGUGUGAAACUCGCCUCGAGAUGAGAUUUCCCAUUCCUUCGGGAAGUAAGACCCCACAAAGAUGAUGUGGUAGAUAGG